rnacentral:lncRNA from 1 species
AUCUGAAAUGGUUAAAUAAGGAAUGAGCUACACCAGCCCAGUAAAGACAUCACACUAUCUCACUGCCACGGAGGUAAAGGUGGGUAGAAAACACAAAAGGACCAAUGGAGCAUAAUUUAUAACAAAUUCUUUUAUCAGUAAUAAAAUCCUUUACUGUCCACUUACCUCGGUGAGAUCCAUAAAAUAACAUAUGAAAGCAAUAACAUUAUCAUCAUCAUGAAAUCAUAU